rnacentral:lncRNA from 1 species
UCUUCUUCUUCUCCCCUUUGCACUGGGUCACCCCUGCGCCUCAUCCCGUCAACCACCAGUAAACCAUAGCCUACGGUCUUCUUCUUUGUCGUCGGACCUUGUUUUCCUUUCAACUGGGUCGUUGCGCCUCAAACGCCAAUAAACCAUAACAUUCACCCCCUUCUUUUUCUCCAUCGAAUCCUAUUCCUUUCACUGACGUCGAUAAUACACCAUUGUUGCCCCAUCUAAAGCUAACCCCUCAUUUAUCUUUCGUUCUAAUAGCAUCAAAACGUUCCAUCCAUUCUCUUCAUCUUCUUUCCAUUAGUAAACAUUUAUCACAAUUAUAAGAAAAUAAUAUAUGUUUUUCAAAAAAAUAAUCAAUUGCUUCGCUGGAAUACUAUUUUCAUCUUAAAUAAUGGAGUUUCACCGAAAUAUUAUUUUCAGCAGAAAUAAUGAAGCUUCGCCGGAAUAUUAUUGUCAUCGAAAACAAUAGACCUUCACCAGAAUAUUUGAGACUUUAAUCAGAUCUACAUAAAAUAAAAUAAAAAGAAUGAAAAAACAGUAGACGAAUUGGAGAGGUGGAGGGGGUGGGUGUGUAAAGAGACAUGAAAUAGUUGCAGAGGGAGGAUGAGAAAGACGUUCCC